AGAGUUUGAUCCUGGCUCAGGAUGAACGCUGGCGGCGUGCCUAACACAUGCAAGUCGAGCGAAGCACUUUACUCUGAAUCUUUCGGGAGGACGAGUGAUUUGACUGAGCGGCGGACGGGUGAGUAACGCGUGGGUAACCUGCCUCACACAGGGGGAUAACAGUUAGAAAUGACUGCUAAUACCGCAUAAGGCCACAGCACCGCAUGGUGCAGGGGUAAAAACUCCGG
rnacentral:rRNA from 1 species